rnacentral:rRNA from 1 species
AGAGUUUGAUCAUGGCUCAGAUUGAACGCUGGCGGCAUGCUUAAUACAUGCAAGUCGAACGGUAACAGGUCCUUCGGGAUGCUGACGAGUGGCGGACGGGUGAGUAAUGCAUAGGAAUCUGCCCAGUAGUAGGGGACAACCUGAGGAAACUCAGGCUAAUACCGUAUAAGUCCUACGGGAGAAAGGGGGCCUCUUCUUGAAAGCUCUCGCUAUUGGAUGAGCCUAUGUCGGAUUAGCUUGUUGGUGGGGUAACGGCCUACCAAGGCGACGAUCCGUAGCUGGUCUGAGAGGACGAUCAGCCACACUGGGACUGAGACACGGCCCAGACUCCUACGGGAGGCAGCAGUAGGGAAUAUUGGACAAUGGGCGAAAGCCUGAUCCAGCAAUGCCGCGUGUGUGAAGAAGGCCUGCGGGUUGUAAAGCACUUUCAGUUGGGAAGAAAAUCUUUAGGUUAAUAUCCUAAAGUCUUGACGUUACCAACAGAAGAAGCACCGGCUAACUCUGUGCCAGCAGCCGCGGUAAUACAGAGGGUGCGAGCGUUAAUCGGAAUUACUGGGCGUAAAGCGUGCGUAGGCGGUUAAGUCAGUCGGAUGUGAAAGCCCAAGGCUUAACCUUGGAACGGCAUUCGAUACUGCUUAGCUAGAGUACAGUAGAGGGAAGC